UGGGGAAUAUUGGACAAUGGGCGCAAGCCUGAUCCAGCAAUGCCGCGUGUGUGAAGAAGGCCUUCGGGUUGUAAAGCACUUUUAUCAGGAGCGAAACGCUGUCGGCUAAUACCCGGCGGAACCGACGGUACCUGAGGAAUAAGCACCGGCUAACUUCGUGCCAGCAGCCGCGGUAAUACGAAGGGUGCAAGCGUUAAUCGGAAUUACUGGGCGUAAAGCGUGCGUAGGCGGUUUCUUAAGUCUGCUGUGAAAUCCCCGGGCUCAACCUGGGAAUGGCAGUGGAUACUGGGAGGCUAGAGUGUGUCAGAGGGUGGUGGAAUUCCCGGUGUAGCGGUGAAAUGCGUAGAGAUCGGGAGGAACAUCAGUGGCGAAGGCGGCCACCUGGGGCAACACUGACGCUGAGGCACGAAAGCGUGGGGAGCAAACAGGAUUAGAUACCCUGGUAGUCCACGCCCUAAACGAUGCGAACUGGAUGUUGGUCUCAACUGCGGAGAUCAGUGUCGAAGCUAACGCGUUAAGUUCGCCGCCUGGGGAGUACGGUCGCAAGACUGAAACUCAAAUGAAUUGACGGGGUCAUA
rnacentral:rRNA from 1 species